ensembl:lincRNA
GAGCUGGGAACCCGUCACCAGCUCUCCAUCGGCCUGCCGAGCUCAGGGAACCUCAUGGGCUCAAGGACACUGAAUUCGUGCCUGAGUUGGUCCAGAAAAGCCCACCGCGCUGCAUUUGAUUUGCUUUCCCGUUCCCUCAUCACACCACUGCAGAGCUGUUACUUCGUGCCGGAGUCGCGACUGAGCUCUCCACACAGCCUCACACCGACUCCCAGCCCGGCACCGACAGACCAAACCGACACAGUUUUCAGAAGCCUCCCUUGGCGGCCUAGCAUUUCUGCUCAGGUCUGCCGGGCCGGCUGCGUACAGAGGCCCCAGUGCGCUGAUGGCCCAGAGGCCCCAGAGGCUGCAGCGGUCCCUCCUCCUGGGCAGGCCCCGGGGCUGCUCCUGGGCCUCCUGGGCCUCCUGGGCCUGGCUGGGGAAGGGCUGGGGCAGAGGAGAGACAGACAGGACGGCAGCUCUGCAGCCCAGCUGUGUGUGUGAAGGUGGGAGCCAGCGCUGGCCCCAGGGA